rnacentral:rRNA from 1 species
ACUUGCUCCCGGAUGUUAGCGGCGGACGGGUGAGUAACACGUGGGUAACCUGCCUGUAAGACUGGGAUAACUCCGGGAAACCGGAGCUAAUACCGGAUAGUUCCUUGAACCGCAUGGUUCAAGGAUGAAAGACGGUUUCGGCUGUCACUUACAGAUGGACCCGCGGCGCAUUAGCUAGUUGGUGAGGUAACGGCUCACCAAGGCGACGAUGCGUAGCCGACCUGAGAGGGUGAUCGGCCACACUGGGACUGAGACACGGCCCAGACUCCUACGGGAGGCAGCAGUAGGGAAUCUUCCGCAAUGGACGAAAGUCUGACGGAGCAACGCCGCGUGAGUGAUGAAGGUUUUCGGAUCGUAAAGCUCUGUUGUUAGGGAAGAACAAGUGCAAGAGUAACUGCUUGCACCUUGACGGUACCUAACCAGAAAGCCACGGCUAACUACGUGCCAGCAGCCGCGGUAAUACGUAGGUGGCAAGCGUUGUCCGGAAUUAUUGGGCGUAAAGGGCUCGCAUGCGGUUUCUUAAGUCUGAUGUGAAAGCCCCCGGCUCAACCGGGGAGGGCCAUUGGAAACUGGGAAACUU